AUGGACUUUCGCCGUGUGCGCCAGACGUGCUAGGACUGAAACUAGCUGAGCGGGAGGGAAAUGUAUCACACCCGCUGCCUUCAUGCUUCCAAAGAAGAAAAAUCCAGAGCAGGGGUAAGAAAGCCCCGGCAGCGGCUCUGCAGGCUCAGGGCUGAGGACCCGGUAAUGAAGUCUUUCUGGAAGAUAAAGAUCUUGCGCUCCCAGCUUCGGCUUGUUGACCUUGUCAGGACCGCUGUGCUGUCUGGAAAUUGGUCCCAGAGAGAGAGAGAAGGGCAUUGUUGUUAGGGGCUGUUUGGUGGUUUGGGUUUUCAGUCCUCCCAGCAGAGAGGAGCUCAGUUUGCCAAAAAUAAACAAAUAAAAAUCUUCCCCUCAAAACAGAAACUGAUUGUCUUAUGCCUUCUAUUUUUCUCUUGCAAAACUGAAAGGUUGUCC
rnacentral:lncRNA from 1 species